GGAGGGAUAGCGAAGUGGCUAAACGCGACGGACUGUAAAUCCGUUCCCUCAGGGUUCGAAGGUUCGAAUCCUUCUCCCUCCACCA
rnacentral:tRNA from 1 species